UACGGAGGGUGCGAGCGUUGUCCGGAAUCACUGGGCGUAAAGGGCGCGUAGGCGGCCUGAUAAGUAGGGGGUGAAAUCCUGCGGCUUAACCGCAGGGCUGCCUUCUAAACUGUCAGGCUUGAGCACAGUAGAGGCAGGUGGAAUUCCCGGUGUAGCGGUGGAAUGCGUAGAGAUCGGGAAGAACAUCAGUGGCGAAGGCGGCCUGCUGGGCUGUUGCUGACGCUGAGGAGCGAAAGCGUGGGGAGCAAACAGG
rnacentral:rRNA from 1 species